rnacentral:rRNA from 1 species
UACGUAGGGGGCAAGCGUUGUCCGGAUUUAUUGGGCGUAAAGAGCGUGUAGGCGGCUAGAUAGGUCCGUUGUGAAAACUCGAGGCUCAACCUCGAGACGCCGAUGGAAACCGUCUGGCUAGAGUCCGGAAGAGGAGAGUGGAAUUCCUGGUGUAGCGGUGAAAUGCGCAGAUAUCAGGAAGAACACCCGUGGCGAAGGCGGCUCUCUGGGACGGUACUGACGCUGAGACGCGAAAGCGUGGGGAGCGAACAGG